rnacentral:rRNA from 1 species
ACAGCAGUAGCCGCGGUAAUACGAAGGGGGCUAGCGUUGCUCGGAAUCACUGGGCGUAAAGGGUGCGUAGGCGGGUCUUUAAGUCAGGGGUGAAAUCCUGGAGCUCAACUCCAGAACUGCCUUUGAUACUGAAGAUCCUGAGUUCGGGAGAGGUGAGUGGAACUGCGAGUGUAGGGGUGAAAUUCGUAGAUAUUCGCAAGAACACCAGUGGCGAAGGCGGCUCACUGGCCCGAUACUGACGCUGAGGCACGAAAGCGUGGGGAGCAAACAGGAUUAGAGACCCCCGUAGUCCCUGUCUCUUAUAC